rnacentral:sRNA from 1 species
UUUAGCAGGGAAGCUGGAGAAAUCCAGCUUUCAUUGUCUAGACUAAGCAAUCCAGUCGGCUUCGGCCAACAGGAUUGCUACGUUAUCCAUGUAUCACACCCAAGGAUGAUGCCCAAGUCUUUGGCUCUGUGGCAGCUCUGUAAACAGUCAUGAGGUUAACGUGACAGUCAACUGCGUUGGCAAGCAUGGAUAACAUUGUCGAUGGGCAU